GUUCAACUCCAGGAAGCUGAGAGAAGGUGGGAAGAAGUUCAAGCCUUUAUCAGGAAAAGAACAGCAGAACAUGAGGCAGCACAGCAAGGUAAAGGAGACAGGUGCUCAGGUAAGCUGAUGUAAUUUUGGGUAAAAUUUCUUCCCUUCUCCAUCUGUGAAGAAAGUACAGUAUGGCAUUUUAGUUAUAGUACAUAAAAAUGACUUUUACCCUUUCAUAUUACCUUUAUUUCUUUGACUUUUUUUAGGGUUUUAAAAUAAGAAAUGGUUUUCUUUCUUUAUUUUUUAUGAGUACAUGUUUAAAAUUCACGAUGAUUACAUUCCUGGUGGGGAGUUUGUAUGUGUAUGUAAACAAAUCUCAAUUAUUUUUUUCAUCUCCUUCCCUGCCCAGCCACCCCCUGCCUGCAUUUUUUUAUCCCCUUCUUAUUUGCAAAAGAUCUUUCUAUUAUGCAUCUUUUAUUUUGCUCUUUAUAUUUUAAGUUUCUCCUGCCAGCUUUGCCUGAGCAUUAAAUUGUAGGCAAAAUUGUAGUACCUAAUAAAGUAAUGGGAAAAUAGGCUGGGUGCUUUGUUUUGUUUUGUUUUGUUUUUCCUCUUUAGUUUUCCCCUUUUAUUUCCUUGAGUAGUUCUUAAUUUUAUUUAUUUUUUUGUAAUUAAGAAACAUAAAAUUUUUAGUUUUUCGUUUCCUAUGUUGUAAAGAGAAAAACACUGAGAAUAUUACUGUUUGAUUUAGUUUAUAUGAAACUCUCUACUUGUUGAAUGCUAACUUUUCCUAUUCAUUAUUCCUAAUUUGAAAGGCUCUUUUUUUUUUUGGUACCAGGGAUUGAACUCAGGUCCCUGUGCUUGCCAGGCAGGCGGCAGCACCACUGAGCUGUAUCCCCAGCUGAAUGACUCACAUGGAGAUAAAGGAGCUUGCACUGAUUGCAGAAAAAGAUAAGCAGAUAAAACAAACUGAAGAUUCCCUAGCAAGUGAACAUGAUCAUCUGACUAGUAAAGAGGAGGAACUUAAGGAUAUGCAGAAUAUGAAUUUAUUAUUAAAAGCUGAAAUGCAGAAAUUACAGACUCUGGCAAAUGAGCAGGCUGCUGCAGCACAUGAAUUGGAGAAAAUACAAAAAAGAUUCUUAAUGAUUGAAACAAAGCAUUAAAGUUAGAAGUUCAAAGACUGCAGACUCUUAUUUCUGAACAGGUAAGAUUUUUCACGAAUCAUAAAGUAGAAAUAGCCAAUAUAUAAUAAGAUCUGGUUCUUAAUUUGAAACCAAUUCAUUAAUGGAGAAGUUUUGCUUAAGCACAGCUGUGUCUUUUAAUUGCAUUCCUCUUCACCUUGUACUUAUCAAGAUUCUAAAUAAAAACUUUUCUUCCUUGAGAUUAAGUGAAUGCUAAUCUGCUUAUAAGAACUUUGCAAAAAAAAUAGGGUUGACAAAUUUGUCUCAUGCUUUUGGAGCCUCAGCUGUUUCUUCUAGGCUUCAUGACUUCUUAAAAACAGAAUGGGUUUGAAACAUAUUACCAGAAGUUAUUAGCAAAGUGAUACUGAUUAAAAGCUUAAUAUUCUAAUACCUUUCAUUCUAAGUUUUGUACACCAAGAUUAUACUUACACAGUCAUACCCUGCACCUUUAAAACUCAUCACGUUUGGUACAUGAUGCAGUUUGACUGAAAGAUUUUGUCCCAGUUCUUAUUUGUUUGGUAUUCUAUGUGCAACCUAGAACUUGUUGGUGCUGAUUGCCUCUUGACUUGCUAUGCUUUCCAGCCAAAACUGUUUGGUACCUGGAUUUGGUACUCAUUGCACCUCCCUUCACCAAUAAAUGACAAGUGCCAAGUUAACACUGUAUUGUAAAUUCAUUAGAUUUAAAUGGGAAAUGCUGGAGAUUUAGCUCAGCGGUUCGGUGGCCUGCCUUGCAAGCGCCAGGACCGGAGUUCAGUCCCCGGUACCAAAAAAAUUUCCAUCUAUGAACCAAGAAAUGCAUCUUCCCCAGACACUGAGUCUGCCAGUGUGUCAGCCUUGGACUUCUCAGCCUCCAGGACUGUGAGCAAUAAGUUUCUGCUGUCUAUAAGCUACCCAGGCUAAGCUGGGCACGGUGGUACGCACCUCUAACCCCAGCCCUCAGGAAGAUGAGGCAUGAGGAUUACUGUGAGUUUCAUAGUCAGUUCAAGGCCAGCCUGAACUGCAAAGUCUCAAAACUUUGUCUCAAAAAAACUAGAUAAAAUAAAAAUAGGCUACCCAGUCUAUAUUUGUUGUAUAGCAGGGUAAAUGGACUAAUAACAAUCUCUCUGUUCAUCUUCUGGCUAGUUCUUUCAUACAUUAUCGAUAUUAGGAUACUGACAUCUAUAAUUAUAUAUUUUGAAUUGCCCAUUUCUUCUUUCAGUUCUGCCAGUGACACACAUUUCAGAAGUCUCAUCUUCCAUCUUUGAAGAGUAUGAGUUUUUAUUUUCUAUAAAACCUAAUAAAUAUUAUACUAUUAUAUAAAGUCUAAUCUGUCAUUUUAUGGUUUAUGGUUUUUGCAACUGAUCUGAGACAUUCUACAUUAAAUUCAAAGUAAAGUACACAUGGGAUGAAUAUAAAAUAAAAUUCUCUAUCCUUUUUGCAAGGUUCUGAAUAAGGACCGAAUAACAUUGCAGAAUCACAGGGUCAUGACAGGAGAGGGGAGCCAAAACCUUGUUUGGGACUCACUUCUGCCACGUCACCAUUGAAUAUAUCUGAGUCUCUGUAUCUCCAACUGCAAGCUAAAAUGAAUUUUAUCCAUUCAUUUCUUGCUACAAAAUAUCCCCCAAAUUUAGCAGUUUUAAAUAAUAAUCAGUUGAGUCUAUAUUGAGGGAAACACUACAAGGGGGACGAUUUGUGAAAACAUAAGGGAUUAUUACAAUACUGGUACUCCACACUCCAACUACAGCCUACUAACUACUAAAAGGAGCAAAGUAAUGCGUACAGCACUCAAACAGCAUGAUUCUGAACAGCUGAUUCCCCACUAAUGUCUAACCAUCAGUGCUCAUGUGCACGCCCAGAUGAAAGUCCAACCAGAGAAAGAACAGAACAUAAAUCCCCUUACCCUGCUCCUGGUGAGGAAUCUGUGGCAGCCUCAUCCUCUCUUAGGGAAAAAAGGAGGACAAACAGGUCAGAGGAAAGAUGACUUAUAAGGAACAGAGGUGAGGAAAAAUGUAGCUCAUUAAUUCCUUCCCCCCAAAGAGCUCUUAUGCCUCCCAGGUCUUGCUGAACAACUCCUAUCUAGUUCAAGGAUGACCCAGAUUCUACUCUGGCCCUGCCACUAACUUCUGCGUUACCUUGGACAAAAUAACUUCAUUUUCCUGACUUUAAUUUUCUUAUUUGAGCCAGGUAUGGUGGUGCACACCUAUAACCCCAGCACUCUGGGAGUCUGAGACAGGAAGAUUGAAAAUUGAAGCCCAGCCUGGACAACUUAGCAAGACCCUAUAUAAAAACAAAAAAUUAAAAGUGGGCUGGGGUGUAGCUCAGUGCAAAGACCUUAGGUUCAAUCCCUAGUGUGACACACACAAAAUCCUUAUUUGUAAAAUGAAAGCAUUUAACCAGGUCUCUAUGAUUUCUUCAGAUUUGGGAAUUUUAUGACCCCAAGGUAACUUAUUAGUAAAAUAGUUGUUCAUGCACAGUCCUAAUACUUAUCUCUAUUUAGUGUACUUUUUUACAUAUAUAUAUUUAGUUUACUUAAUUUCAAUGUGUC
rnacentral:lncRNA from 1 species